rnacentral:rRNA from 1 species
AGAUUGAACGCUGGCGGCAUGCUUUACACAUGCAAGUCGAACGGUAACAGGCCGCAAGGUGCUGACGAGUGGCGAACGGGUGAGUAAUGCAUCGGAACGUGCCCAGUCGUGGGGGAUAACGCAGCGAAAGCUGUGCUAAUACCGCAUACGAUCUAUGGAUGAAAGCGGGGGACCGAAAGGCCUCGCGCGAUUGGAGCGGCCGAUGUCAGAUUAGCUAGUUGGUGGGGUAAAGCCCACCAAGGCGACGAUCUGUAGCUGGUCUGAGAGGACGACCAGCCACACUGGAACUGAGACACGGUCCAGACUCCUACGGGAGCCAGCGAGUGGGGAAUUUUUGGACAAGUGGGCGCAAGCCUGACUCAGACAAUCGACCGCGUGCAAGGAAGACGGUCCUUACGGGUUAGUAAACGUGUACGUUUUGUAACCGGUAACGUAAACGGUCGUAGGUUAACUACCGU